GGGUUGUGAGGUUAAGCGACUAAGCGUACACGGUGGAUGCCCUGGCAGUCAGAGGCGAUGAAGGACGUGCUAAUCUGCGAUAAGCGCCGGUAAGGUGAUAUGAACCGUUAUAACCGGCGAUACCCGAAUGGGGAAACCCAGUGUGAUUCGUCACACUAUCAUUAACUGAAUCCAUAGGUUAAUGAGGCGAACCGGGGGAACUGAAACAUCUAAGUACCCCGAGGAAAAGAAAUCAACCGAGAUUCCCCCAGUAGCGGCGAGCGAACGGGGAGGAGCCCAGAGCCUGAAUCAGCAUGUGUGUUAGUGGAAGCGUCUGGAAAGGCGCGCGAUACAGGGUGACAGCCCCGUACACAAAAGCGCAUGUGCUGUGAGCUCGAUGAGUAGGGCGGGACACGUGGUAUCCUGUCUGAAUAUGGGGGGACCAUCCUCCAAGGCUAAAUACUCCUGACUGACCGAUAGUGAACCAGUACCGUGAGGGAAAGGCGAAAAGAACCCCGGCGAGGGGAGUGAAAAAGAACCUGAAACCGUGUACGUACAAGCAGUGGGAGCACAGGUUUACCUGUGUGACUGCGUACCUUUUGUAUAAUGGGUCAGCGACUUAUAUUCUGUAGCAAGGUUAACCGUAUAGGGGAGCCGCAGGGAAACCGAGUCUUAA
rnacentral:rRNA from 1 species